rnacentral:lncRNA from 7 species
AAAUGGUCCCUGCUAUCUUCCUCCCCUCUACCACAGCAUGGAGUGCUAGAAGUGUUGCAGGGGCAAAUCUUGGAGGGAGAUGGACUUCACCUCUUUAUGGAGGGGAGAAAUUGAGAACUGGUUGGAUGUGUGAAAAUAACAUCUCCUGCAGUUGCUCAGCUGACACUGAAGAAAUCCGAGGAACUGAGUUUGCGACAAGUCAAGAGUCCAACAAAUCUAACAGCAGCUCCAACACACUCAUCAUGCUGGAGAAAAGAAAAAGUUAACUCACCUUUCUUCUAUUUGAGUUAAUUGAUUUCCAUGGAGACUCACUUAGUGAAAGUUCUGUGACAUUUUGCUUUGGAAAAGGAAAACAGAAAAUAAACACAAGGUAUUUGCAUAAUCACUACUACACUGGUCAUUUAUCACCCAGAACAUUAUUGUAAGAAGGCCAACAUGCUUCAGCUUGAGCCUACAUGCUUUGAGUGCAGACUAAAAACUCUUGUCACAGAAGAUUUUGUUGGGUGCAGAGGUAAAAGGUAAACAGAGCCUCCUCGUAGCAAUGAAAAAAAAUUGUACAGAUAAAAAGAACCUAGUUCAUUUGUUAGCUGAAGUGUACUGAAGUCUUGAAGUUCAGAUACGUUAAAGGAAAGAGAAGGCAAAGAUUGAUUUUCUGAUCUUAUUUAGCUCCAUUGUACUAACACAAUUCCCUUACCACACUGAUUGUUUGGGUUCUUUUGUAUUAUCUAUUGGUCUGCUAAUGUCUGUGUGUUCUGCUAUCUUACUGUUAACUCUCACUUUAUCAAUGAAAUAAAAUUUCCAAGUCUUCCU